GGGGCAGUGGGAUGCGGGGCUGGAUUUGGGGCUGGAUGCGGGGCAGGGGCUGUGCUGUGGUGCUGAUGUGUGCUGACCCCGGUGUCCCCCCCCGCAGCGCAAGCCGGAGGAGCAGCCCCUGGAGCUGGAGGACGUGUGUCCCGAGAAGCCCCUCAAGCCCUCCCACAAAGCAGUUGCCUUAAACCCCCCGGCCAAGGGCAUGUCCUCGGCGGCCCCCGGGCCCCCCAAGCUGUCCCCUUGCUGCCACUCCCCGGCCCUGCGGCACCCGGCCAAGUGCCCCGUGGCGCUCCCCGCGGCCCCCUGCACUUUACCCGUCUGCCCCGCCGCCAGCUCCGCCGUCGCCCCCCGCUCCCCGGCCGACAGCCCCGUCCCCGUCCAGAGCAAGGGCAGCGACGGCGAGGACAAGCGCGGGGAGGGGCAGCCGCCCCGCGACUACCCCAAGUCCCUGGAGCCAGACCUGCCCCCGGGCUACAGCUACCCCGCGGCCAGCAUGGGCUUCUCGGAGGCGCACUCGGCCGAGCCGGCUGACCCCGACACGAUGCACGCGGGCUCCCCGCCAGCCGAGCCCGAGCAGUCGCGGACCUUCAGCCCCGCCGAGGAUGUGCUGAGGGAGCCCGGCCCCGUGCGGGAGCCGCCGGCCGGGGGGGCUGCAGCCGAGGGUCCCGGCGCGUUGCUGCACCGCCACCACCUCCUCCUCGCCCCGGGGCCGGCCCCGGCCGCGGUGGCCACCGAGGAGCCCUUCGGGGUGCGCCGCGAGGCGGCUCCGGCAGUGCUGGAGCAGAGCUCGGUGGAGCAGCAGCGCCCGGUGCCCGCGGUGGGGUCCUCACCGCUGGUCCCCCCCGGCGGCGAGGAGGAGGAGGAGGAGGAGGAGGACGAAGAGGAGGAGGAGGAGGGCGACAGCGAAGGCUCGGGGCCGGAGGGCAGCUGCGACGAGGAGGAGGGCGAUGGCCCCAGCCACGCGCCCAGCGGGCGGCAGGGCUGCCCGGGCGGGCUGGAGGCGCUCAUCGCCGCCGGCAUCGACCUGGGGGAGCUGCCGGCGCUGGGGUCCCCCGAGGAGCCC
rnacentral:lncRNA from 1 species